rnacentral:lncRNA from 1 species
AUGUCGAAAAGAUGUUAUCAAUUUCAAAGGCUUUGGAAAAGUGUUCCAAAAAUAAUUGCACUUACGUUGUAUGGAAUGCUGAAGAAAAAAAAAGCAGUCAUUUGUUAUGAAAAUAAUUCACAUGAUUUGAUUGAAAAGAAGAAUAAUAUAACAUAUAUUAAUCCUACAUUUUUUUAUACUUAUGGAUUUGCAACUUUUCUGAAUUACAUGUCUAUAUGUGAAAACGUUGUAAAAAGCGUGCCCUACAAUUUAAGUAUGGGAAAAUCAGUUGACGUAUGUUCUCACUUGGAUUGUGCUUACUUUACAAAAAGUUACGCAGGGUCUAUAAGAUCAUUAAAUAACAAUAACAGUGGAAAAUCUUGGUUUUGCAAAGGGUACUUUUUUAAAAAAGGGAAACACAAAUUCAUACAUGCGUACAUCCCUCCCUUUAUACAUACAUAUAUAUAUAUAUACAUUUUUUUUUAUAUAGUUUCCCAACUAUUGUGCCAAUGGAUGGAUUUAUCACGUCUGUGAAUUUAAGAAAAUUCAAUUAAAAGAAACUUUUUUAUUAUUUUUUUUAUUAUUUUUUAUUUUAUUUUAUUCUGUUUUUUUUUUUUUUUUUGUAUUUGUCUUUGUGUCAUGUUGUGUUUUUGUCUACCGAAUAAAUAAUUUUUUUAAAAAUUAUUUACA